UUGAAAAGGACACAUCAAACGUUUGAGAUACAAGGGGGGUAACUCCAACAAGUCAGUGGAAAAACUUAAGUUUAAUGGUUAAACACGAAUACUUUAUGCCCCAGUUUAAAUAUCAAGUGUAUUUUAUAGACUAAAAUUGUACAGUUGAUUUGUUGCUCCUUGAUACAAUGGCGUGAGCACAGAGGCAGGAACACUGAGAGAGGAG